GAUUCUAGCUGCACAGACGUAGAAUUUGUACACAAAUAUGACAAUAUAUGAAGCUCUUACUUUUCAAUUUAUACAACUUACAUCUAGGAAAUGGAGACAAGGAGAUGGAUGUAAACAGAUGGAUCAGACAAUAUGCUUCUGAAUCCUUCAACAGGAAAAAAGACAUGAGGCGUCUUCCACCCACCAGCUUCAAUGUAUCCAUAAAGAUGAAAACGAAUGAAGCUUUCCUUCCAUUCCCAGUAUAUCACUGAUCCUUCAUCAUCACUUGGUCAAAGUCCUAGAAUUCCCUACUUAUCAGCACAGUGGGAAUGCUUUCACCACAUGGAUUGCAGUGGUUCCAAAAGGACAGCUCACCUCAGCCUUCUCAAAGGGAAUUAAGGAUGGACAAUAAGUCCCAACAAAAUCUACAUUAUAUGAAUGAAUAAUUAAAAAUAAUCAUCUGGCAACAUGGUCAUUAGAGUGCCUCCUGCCUCCGUUUAGUAGUUUGAGGGUAUUGUCAUGAUCUGACAUGUCUGUUAGGGGCAGCGUGACAAUGUACUGCCGAGACACAGAAUAUUCAGAAGCUGCAUGACAGCAAAGUAUAACCUCACCAAAUUUCCAAUGUGUAAUUUGUAGAUUUAUGUUAAACUGGGAGCAGCAGAUGUUCUUCUAUCACAAAGUACCUAUGAU